rnacentral:rRNA from 1 species
GGAGUUAAGAAAUGUAGGUGUGCUAAUAUCACAUCUAUUUGACGAAGGCUCCAAGGGAAGUCACGGCUAACUCUGUGCCAGCAGCCGCGGUAAUACAGAGGUGGCAAGCGUUGUUCGGAAUUAUUGGGCGUAAAGAGCACGUAGGUGGGUUUGUAAGUCAGAUGUGAAAGCCUCCUGUUCAACGGGAGAAUUGCAUCUGAAACUACUGAUCUUGAGUGUAGGAGGGGAGAGUG